rnacentral:rRNA from 1 species
UUGACAAGCACUUUGAAAAGAGGGUGAAAAGAACCUGAAACCGUUACGGGGGAAGCGGAUUGCGUUGUAUUGAAAAGGAGCGUUCUACUCAGCAUGAAUUCUAUUUGUGUGUAUUUAGGGCGUUUCCUACCCGUCGUGGGCUUUGCACGGCUGAUUUUGGGCUGUGUAGGGCUGAGGUAUCCCCAAAUUUUUGGGUUUUAGAGGACGAUGGGGCGCCAACGCGAUACGACCCGUCUUGAAACACGGACCAAGGAGUCCAGCAUGGCUGCGAGUCAAAGGGUGGUAAAACCUGAGGGCGCAGUGAAAGCAAUUGUUGCAAAACGUUGCAGUUUGAGGCGGCCUAGGAUCGUUGAUCCUAGGUCCGACCUAGAGCAGUCAUGCCGGUACCCGAAAGAUGGUGAACUAUGCUUGAGUAGGGUGAAGCCAGAGGAAACUCUGGUGGAAGCUCGUAGCGAUGCUGACGUGCAAAUCGCUCGUCUAACUCGGGUAUAGGGGCGGAAGACUAAUCGAACCAUCUAGUAGCUGGUUUCCUCCGAAGUUUCUCUCAGGAUAGCAGGCCGACGAUGUGUUGUUGUGUGU